rnacentral:rRNA from 1 species
GAGUAACACGUGGGUAACCUGCCUGUAAGACUGGGAUAACUCCGGGAAACCGGAGCUAAUACCGGAUAGUUCCUUGAACCGCAUGGUUCAAGGAUGAAAGACGGUUUCGGCUGUCACUUACAGAUGGACCCGCGGCGCAUUAGCUAGUUGGUGAGGUAACGGCUCACCAAGGCGACGAUGCGUAGCCGACCUGAGAGGGUGAUCGGCCACACUGGGACUGAGACACGGCCCAGACUCCUACGGGAGGCAGCAGUAGGGAAUCUUCCGCAAUGGACGAAAGUCUGACGGAGCAACGCCGCGUGAGUGAUGAAGGUUUUCGGAUCGUAAAGCUCUGUUGUUAGGGAAGAACAAGUGCAAGAGUAACUGCUUGCACCUUGACGGUACCUAACCAGAAAGCCACGGCUAACUACGUGCCAGCAGCCGCGGUAAUACGUAGGUGGCAAGCGUUGUCCGGAAUUAUUGGGCGUAAAGGGCUCGCAGGCGGUUUCUUAAGUCUGAUGUG